rnacentral:rRNA from 1 species
CCUACGGGUGGCUGCAGUGGGGAAUAUUGGACAAUGGGGGCAACCCUGAUCCAGCCAUGCCGCGUGUGUGAAGAAGGCCCUCGGGUUGUAAAGCACUUUCAGUGAGGAAGAACGCCUGGUGGUUAAUACCCAUCAGGAAAGACAUCACUCACAGAAGAAGCACCGGCUAACUCCGUGCCAGCAGCCGCGGUAAUACGGAGGGUGCGAGCGUUAAUCGGAAUUACUGGGCGUAAAGCGCGCGUAGGUGGCUUGAUAAGCCGGUUGUGAAAGCCCCGGGCUCAACCUGGGAACGGCAUCCGGAACUGUCAAGCUAGAGUGCUGGAGAGGAAGGUAGAAUUCCCGGUGUAGCGGUGAAAUGCGUAGAGAUCGGGAGGAAUACCAGUGGCGAAGGCGGCCUUCUGGACUGACACUGACACUGAGGUGCGAAAGCGUGGGUAGCAAACAGGAUUAGAUACCCUAGUAGUC